rnacentral:rRNA from 1 species
UACGUAGGGGGCUAGCGUUGUCCGGAUUUAUUGGGCGUAAAGAGCGUGUAGGCGGCCAGGUAGGUCUGGUGUGAAAACUCGAGGCUUAACCUCGAGAUGUCAUCGGAAACCAUUUGGCUAGAGUCCGGAAGAGGAGAGUGGAAUUCCGAGUGUAGAGGUGAAAUUCGUAGAUAUUCGGAGGAACACCAGUGGCGAAGGCGGCUCACUGGUCCAUUACUGACGCUGAGGUGCGAAAGCGUGGGGAGCAAACAGG